AUUGAACGCUGGCGGCAUGCCUUACACAUGCAAGUCGAACGGCAGCGCGGGAGCAAUCCUGGCGGCGAGUGGCGAACGGGUGAGUAAUAUAUCGGAACGUGCCCAGUAGUGGGGGAUAGCCCGGCGAAAGCCGGAUUAAUACCGCAUACGACCUGAGGGUGAAAGGGGGGGAUCGCAAGACCUCUCGCUAUUGGAGCGGCCGAUAGCAGAUUAGGUAGUUGGUGGGAUAAAAGCUUACCAAGCCGACGAUCUGUAGCUGGUCUGAGAGGACGAUCAGCCACACUGGGACUGAGACACGGCCCAGACUCCUACGGGAGGCAGCAGUGGGGAAUUUUGGACAAUGGGCGAAAGCCUGAUCCAGCAAUGCCGCGUGCAGGAUGAAGGCCUUCGGGUUGUAAACAUCUUUUGUCGGAGAGAAAUCCCGAUGCUACAUCGGGAGUGAUAGUAUCCGAAGAAUAAGGGGUUGCUAAACUCGUGCCAGCCGCCGCGGUAAAAC
rnacentral:rRNA from 1 species